UUCGAUUCNUCAGUAGGUAGAGCAACUGACUUGUAAUCAGUAGGUCACCAGUUCGAUUCCGGUAGUCGGCACCA
rnacentral:tRNA from 1 species